rnacentral:rRNA from 1 species
AAUGAACGCUGGCGGCGCGCCUAAUACAUGCAAGUCGAGCGAGAAGACGUAGCAAUACGUUUGUAAAGCGGCGAACGGGUGAGGAAUACAUGGGUAACCUACCCUCGAGUGGGGAAUAACUAAGCCGAAGGUUAGCUAAUACCGCGUACGCUCUUGGACUUCGGUUCAGGGAGGAAAGCGAUGCCGAGGGUAUCGCGCUCUUGGAUGGGCUCAUGUCCUAUCAGCUUGUUGGUGAGGUAACGG